ensembl:snoRNA
UGCCGCCUUGUUCUUAUCAUAGGCUAGGGUUUUUACACUGACUGUAUAGAAAGUGGAGGACUGGUAAAACUAUCCCAUUUACACCUAAGGUAAACCCUUUUCCAGAUUUGUAUUAAUGAAUGGGGAGACAUAA